rnacentral:rRNA from 1 species
GCAUGCCUAACACAUGCAAGCCUUAACGAAGGCUUCGGCCUUAGUGGCGCACGGGUGCGUAACGCGUGGGAAUCUGCCCUUAGGUACGGAAUAACUCGGGGAAACUCGUGCUAAUACCGUAUGAUGACGUAAGUCCAAAGAUUUAUCGCCUAGGGAUGAGCCCGCGUAGGAUUAGCUAGUUGGUGAGGUAAAGGCUCACCAAGGCGACGAUCCUUAGCUGGUCUGAGAGGAUGAUCAGCCACACUGGGACUGAGACACGGCCCAGACUCCUACGGGAGGCAGCAGCGGGGAAUAUUGGACAAUGGGCGAAAGCCUGAUCCAGCAAUGCCGCGUGAGUGAUGAAGGCCUUAGGGUUGUAAAGCUCUUUUACCCGGGAAGAUAAUGACUGUACCGGGAGAAUAAGCCCCGGCUAACUCCGUGCCAGCAGCCGCGGUAAUACGGAGGGGGCUAGCGUUGUUCGGAAUUACUGGGCGUAAAGCGCACGUAGGCUGUUUUGUAAGUCAGAGGUGAAAGCCCAGGGCUCAACCCUGGAUGUGCCUUUGAGACUGCAGAACUAGAACGUCGGAGAGGUGAGUGGAAUUCCGAGUGUAGAGGUGAAAUUAGUAGAUAUUCGGAAGAACACCAGUGGCGAAGGCGGCUCACUGGACGACUGUUGACGCUGAGGUGCGAAAGCGUGGGGGAGCAAACAGGAUUAGAUACCCCCUGGUAGUCCACGCCCGUAAACGAUGAUAACUAGCCUGUCCGGGGCCACCUUGGUGGCCUUGGGUGGCGCAGCCUAACACCAUUAGGUUAUCCCGCCU